UUAACAUGCCAGGUGAGCAUAUUACCUGCAGACCUCCAGCUGUUAAAGGUCAGAAGGAUUUUAUAUUCACUAAAUUAAUAUUGGGAGAGUUUUAUGUUGCAAAUUAAUAUUUGGGGUUAACGUUGUUACAAUGCCCUAAGUAGGCUAAGUUUAAAAAAACUUGUGAAAUUUAGCCUAAUUUUGAUAUGCAUGGAAUGACCCUAAUCAGAUUAACAGUAGGGGUUUUGA
rnacentral:misc_RNA from 1 species